GAUGAACGCUAGCGGCAGGCUUAACACAUGCAAGUCGAGGGGCAGCGCGGGAUAGCCUUAUCCUGGCGGCGACCGGCGGAAGGGUGCGUAACGCGUGAGCGACAUGCCCGUUGCCCGGGGACAACCGGUGGAAACGCCGACUAAUCCCCGAUGGGAUAUUGUGCCGCAUGGCACGAUAUUGAAAGUUACGGCGGCGACGGAUUGGCUCGCGUCCGGUUAGCUUGUUGGCGGGGUAACGGCCCACCAAGGCUGCGAUCUGUAGGGGUUCUGAGAGGAAGGCCCCCCAGGAUGGGAGUGAGGUACGACCCAUACUCCUACGGGAGGCAGCAGUAAUGAAUAUUGGUCAAUGGGCGGAAGCCUGAGCCAGCCAUGCCGCGUGCGGAAAGGAGGCCCUAUGGGCUGUGAACCGCUUUUGCCUGGGGGCAAUAAGGGCGUCGCGCACGUCCGAUGAGGUUACCAGGCGAAUAAGCAUCGGCUAACUCCGUG
rnacentral:rRNA from 1 species